GAGAAGAUCUGCUCUUAGUAGAGCCCUGCUUUCCCGCUGAAGGCCCUGAAAUCACCUGUGUUCCAGGCCACCCACUAAGGAUAAACAAAGCUUCCCUGAUAUGGGGAAUUAGCUCAAGUGGUAGAGCGCUUGCUUAGCAUGCAAGAGGUAGUGGGAUCAAUGCCCACAUUCUCCAAGCUUUAUUAUUUAGGUACCCAAACCCGAGUCAGUGUCUGAGAGCAAGACACUGCUCUCGGUGUCUUUGGUUCAAGACAUAGGAGCAGCAACAAUACAGGACUGGUGACAGCUUCCUGCUGGCAUUCAGUAUAGUGUAGAUCUACUGUGUAAUUAAUUUUCUGUUUCUUCGAGGAGCUGUGAAACCAAAGGACAUAUAAAACUGCUCUUUUCUCCCUGUUUCUGCCUGCAGCUUGGUCCUAAAUGUGAGACAAUUGUGAAAAGUGGAGGACAGAGCCACCUGGUUAAAUACAGCCCCAGCUUUCUGACAAUGAGUAGCCACUGCUGUUUGCCCUGGCCCAUCAAUGAGAAGAUCUGCUCUUAGAGCCCUGCUUUCCUGCUGAAGGCCCUGAAAUCACCUGUGUUCCAGGCCACCUGCUAACAAUAAAUAAUGCUGCCCUGAUGUGGGGAAUUAGCUCAAGUGGUAGAGCGCUUGCUUAGCACGCAAGAGGUAGUGGGAUCGAUGCCCACAUUCUCCAAGCUUUAUUAUUUAGACAUCGUGUCUCCAAACACUCAGGUCUCCAAACCCAAGUUAGUGUCUGAGAACAGGAUGCUGCUUUGGUUCAAGACGUAGGAGCAGCAAUAAUAGAGGGCUGGUGAUGGCUCCCUCUUGGCAUUCAGUAUAGUGUAGAUCUACCAUGUAAUUAAUUCUCUGUUUCUUUGAGGAGCUGUGAAACCAAGGGACAUAUACAACUGCUCUUUUCUCCCUGUUUCUACCUGCAGCUUUGUCCUAAAUGUGAGACAAUUAUGAAAAGUGCAGCGCAGAGCCACUUGGGUAAAUACAGCCCCGGCUUUCUGCUCAGGGGACAGAGUUUGAGGCACUGCAGAGGAACCGGCCAAAGUAUGAGACCCAUAUAUUGAGAGUAACAGAGUGUAAAGUUCAAAAAAAUCAAAAUAUUUAAAGAUUUAUCAUGGGUCUUGAUGACAUGAUGGAAUCUCU
rnacentral:lncRNA from 1 species